rnacentral:rRNA from 1 species
UGGGGAAUAUUGCACAAUGGGGGAAACCCUGAUGCAGCGACGCCGCGUGAAGGAAGAAGGUUUUCGGAUUGUAAACUUCUAUCGAUGGGGAAGAAAAAAAUGACGGUACCCAAGUAAGAAGCCCCGGCUAACUACGUGCCAGCAGCCGCGGUAAUACGUAGGGGGCAAGCAUUAUCCGGAAUUAUUGGGUGUAAAGGGUGCGUAGGUGGUAAAUUAAGUCAGGAGUUAAAGACCUGGGCUCAACUCAGGGGGUGCUCUUGAAACUGAUUUACUAGAGUGCAGGAGAGGAAAGCGGAAUUCCUAGUGUAGUGGUGAAAUGCGUAGAUAUUAGGAGGAACACCGAUGGCGAAGGCAGCUUUCUGGACUGUAACUGACACUGAGGCACGAAAGCGUGGGUAGC